AUUGAACGCUGGCGGCAGGCCUAACACAUGCAAGUCGAACGAGUGGCGGACGGGUGAGUAAUGUCUGGGAAACUGCCCGAUGGAGGGGGAUAACUACUGGAAACGGUAGCUAAUACCGCCUACCAUCGGAUGUGCCCAGAUGGGAUUAGCUAGUAGGUGGGGUAAUGGCUCACUUAGGCGACGAUCCCUAGCUGGUCUGAGAGGAAGACCAGCAAAACUGGAACUGAGACCCGGUCCAGACCCCUACGGGAGGCAGCAGUGGGAAAUAUUGCACAAUGGGCGCAAGCCUGAUGCAGCAAUGCCGCGUGUAUGAAGAAGGCCUUCGGGUUGUAAAGUACUUUCAGCGAGGAGGCGUUACUCGCAGAAGAAGCACCGGCUAACUCCGUGCCAGCAGCCGCGGUAAUUC
rnacentral:rRNA from 1 species